rnacentral:rRNA from 1 species
UGGGGGAUAUUGCACAAUGGGGGAAACCCUGAUGCAGCAACGCCGCGUGAAGGAUGAAGGUUUUCGGAUUGUAAACUUCUGUUCUUAGUGACGAUAAUGACGGUAGCUAAGAAGAAAGCUCCGGCUAACUACGUGCCAGCAGCCGCGGUAAUACGUAGGGAGCGAGCGUUGUCCGGAUUUACUGGGUGUAAAGGGAGCGCAGGCGGGAAGACAAGUUGGAAGUGAAAUCCAUGGGCUCAACCCAUGAACUGCUUUCAAAACUGUUUUUCUUGAGUAGUGCAGAGGUAGGCGGAAUUCCCGGUGUAGCGGUGGAAUGCGUAGAUAUCGGGAGGAACACCAGUGGCGAAGGCGGCCUACUGGGCACCAACUGACGCUGAGGCUCGAAAGUGUGGGUAGCAAACAGGAUUAGAUACCCUGGUAGUCCACACCGUAAACGAUGAUUACUAGGUGUUGGAGGAUUGACCCCUUCAGUGCCGCAGUUAACACAAUAAGUAAUCCACCUGGGGAGUACGACCGCAAGGUUGAAACUCAAAGGAAUUGACGGGGGCCCGCACAAGCAGUGGAGUAUGUGGUUUAAUUCGACGCAACGCGAAGAACCUUACCAAGUCUUGACAUCCUGCGACGAUGCUGGAAACAGUAUUUUCCUUCGGGACGCAGAGACAGGUGGUGCAUGGUUGUCGUCAGCUCGUGUCGUGAGAUGUUGGGUUAAGUCCCGCAACGAGCGCAACCCUUAUGGUCAGUUACUACGCAAGAGGACUCUGGCCAGACUGCCGUUGACAAAACGGAGGAAGGUGGGGAUGACGUCAAAUCAUCAUGCCCUUUAUGACUUGGGCUACACACGUACUACAAUGGCGUUAAACAAAGAGAAGCAAGACCGCGAGGUGGAGCAAAACUCAGAAACAACGUCCCAGUUCGGACUGCAGGCUGCAACUCGCCUGCACGAAGUCGGAAUUGCUAGUAAUCGCAGAUCAGCAUGCUGCGGUGAAUACGUUCCC